rnacentral:rRNA from 1 species
CCUACGGGUGGCAGCAGUGAGGAAUAUUGGUCAAUGGACGCAAGUCUGAACCAGCCAUGCCGCGUGCAGGAUGACGGCCCUAUGAGUUGUAAACUGCUUUUGUACGAGGGUAAACGCAGAUACGCGUAUCUGUCUGAAUGUAUCGUACGAAUAAGGAUCGGCUAACUCCGUGCCAGCAGCCGCGGUAAUACGGAGAAUUCAAGCGUUAUCCGGAUUUAUUGGGUUUAAAGGGUGCGUAGGCGGUCGGAUAAGUCAGAUGUGAAAUCCCGAGGCUCAACUUCGGAAUUGCCUCUGAUACUGUCAGGCUAGAGAGUAGUUGAGGUAGGCGGAAUGUAAGGUGUAGGGGUGAAAUGCUUAGAGAUCAUACAGAACACCGAUUGCGAAGGCAGCUUACCAGGCUACUUCUGACGUUGAGGCACGAAAGCGUGGGGAGCAAACAGGAUUAGAUACCCGAGUAGUC